rnacentral:rRNA from 1 species
UUUAAAGAGUGCGUAACAGCUCACUAGUCGAGCGGUUCGGCAUGGAUAAUAAUCGGGCAUAAACAUAUUACCGAAGCUAUGGCAUAUUAAUUUAUAUUGAUAUGGGUAGGGGAGCAUUGUAACAACGUAGAAGGUGUAUUGCGAGGUACAUUGGAGUGGUUACAAAAGAAAAUGUAGGCAUAAGUAACGAUAAUGCGGGCGAGAAACCCGCACACCGAAAGACCAAGGUUUCCUCAGCUAUGCUAAUCAGCUGAGGGUUAGUCGGGUCCUAAGGCGAACCCGAAAGGGGUAGUCGAUGGCCAAGCAGUUAAUAUUCUGCUACUUGCCCCACGUUAAAAGCGGACGGAGGCGAAAAGUUGGUGCGUACUGACGGAAUAGUACGUUGAAUCCAGUGGUAACACGGAGAUAGUACACAAAAGCUACGGCCGGCGUGAUAAUCCAGCGGAUCGACUUCCAAGAAAAGCGAGUGGUGGCAACCCGUACCGUAAACCGACACAGGUAGUUGGGAUGAGAAUUCUAAGGUGCUCGAGAGAUUCAUGGCUAAGGAACUAGGCAAAAUAGGCCCGUAACUUCGGGAGAAGGGUCGCCCACAGCAAUGUGGGCCGCAGUGAAAAGGUCCAGGCGACUGUUUAUCAAAAACACAGGACUCUGCUAAGUCGGCUUCAAGACGACGUAUAGGGUCUGACGCCUGCCCGG